AGCUUUGCGCAGUGGCAGUAUCGUAGCCAAUGAGGUUUAUCCGAGGUGCGAUUAUUGCUAAUUGAAAACUUUUCCCAAAACCUUGGUUUCUGUAAUGAAGGUCAAGCCUCCACGGGAACAACAAAACUCCACCCACUCCUGCUUGUGG